rnacentral:rRNA from 1 species
CUGUGAGACAGGUGCUGCAUGGCUGUCGUCAGCUCGUGUUGUGAAAUGUUGGGUUAAGUCCCGCAACGAGCGCAACCCUUAUCCUUUGUUGCCAGCGGUUCGGCCGGGAACUCAAAGGAGACUGCCAGUGAUAAACUGGAGGAAGGUGGGGAUGACGUCAAGUCAUCAUGGCCCUUACGACCAGGGCUACACACGUGCUACAAUGGCAUAUACAAAGAGAAGCGACCUCGCGAGAGCAAGCGGACCUCAUAAAGUAUGUCGUAGUCCGGAUUGGAGUCUGCAACUCGACUCCAUGAAGUCGGAAUCGCUAGUAAUCGUAGAUCAGAAUGCUACGGUGAAUACGUUCCCGGGCCUUGUACACACCGCCCGUCACACCAUGGGAGUGGGUUGCAAAAGAAGUAGGUAGCUUAACCUUCGGGAGGGCGCUUACCACUUUGUGAUUCAUGACUGGGGUGAAGUCGUAACAAGGUAACCGUAGGGGAACCUGCGGUUGGAUCACCUCCUUACCUUAAAGAA